UGCUCAAGGUGACCCAAUUAUAACUUGCUGCUCCAUAACAAAGUCCCUCGCGUGACUCAAAGGGAUCCUCGGAUGAAAGGGCAGGUACUCAUUGAAUACAUUUAAAGCAACAACGGAAGCGUCAUUACGUUAUCAGCCUGACUGAUGGAGCGACAAAUCCUCUCCGUCCGGUUUAAAAGAACGGCACAUUUCGCAACUGCACGACAAGUGUGUUUACCAUAACGCAAAUGAUGGUUCUUCAUGAGGGACGCUUUAUUUCGAGGACAUCGCAUGGUGUCAUCGAAUGAAUCAUUAUUACGCAAUCGCGCGUUAUAAGUAUCAGGAGCUACAAUGAGCCGCAAGAAGAUCCGUUGGGCAACUUAGCGCGUUUCCUUUUACAAAAGUUGCAUGUAAACGCAUCGAUAUUACGCUUCCGCAAUGACAGCAUGACGUGACUCACUUACUGAAAUUUUACACGUAUUAAAUAUUCCGACACUGGAAAAAUUGUGACCUUUA